ensembl:snoRNA
CCUCCUUUCUUGGCAUGCUGUUGCCCUGUGUGUGUGUGAUGGAGCGAAACCAAGGACAGUGCUAUGUAUUCGGUGCCAGAAUGUUCCCGACUUCUGGUUCUAUGCUCAAUCGCUGGUACAUUC